GAGUGAGAGGGAAGAGCCCAAGAUUGAAAGCUGGCGCCUUCGGCGUCCGCAUUGUAAUCUCAAGAAGUGUUUUCCGCUUCGGACCAUGCCUAAGUCCCUUGGAAAAGGGCAUCACAGAGGGUGAUAAUCCCGUACAUGGCAUGGAGCGCCCGAAGCUUUGUGAUACGCUUUCUAAGAGUCGAGUUGUUUGGGAAUGCAGCUCAAAAUGGGUGGUAAAUGCCAUCUAAGGCUAAAUAUUGGGGAGAGACCGAUAGCGAACAAGUACAGUGAUGGAAAGAUGAAAAGAACUUUGAAAAGAGAGUUAAACAGUACGUGAAAUUGCCAAAAGGGAAGGGUAGGAGGUCAGAGAUGCGUCGCAGGAUUCAGCCUUGCUUUUGCUUGGUGUUUUUCCUGCGUUGCAGGCCAACGUCGGUUUUGGGCACUGGAGAAGGGUAGGAGGAACGUGGCACCUCUCGGGGUGUGUUAUAGCCUCCUACUGGAUACAGCGACCGAGACCGAGGAACGCAGCGUACUCGUAAGAGCGGGCCUUUUGGCACCUUUACGCUUAGGGCGUUGGCAUAAUGGCCCUCUACCACCCGUCUUGAAACACGGACC
rnacentral:rRNA from 1 species